UACGUAGGGCGCAAGCGUUGUCCGGAAUUAUUGGGCGUAAAGAGCUCGUAGGCGGCUUGUCGCGUUUGGAUGUGAAAGCCCGGGGCUUAACUCCGGGUCUGCAUUCGAUACGGGCAGGCUAGAGUUCGGUAGGGGAGAUCGGAAUUCCUGGUGUAGCGGUGAAAUGCGCAGAUAUCAGGAAGAACACCCGUGGCGAAGGCGGUUCUCUGGGACGGUACUGACGCUGAGACGCGAAAGCGUGGGGAGCGAACAGG
rnacentral:rRNA from 1 species